GACAUCUCACCGAGUCGACUCAUACGACUCGGCAGUCGACCGAGCCAGGCAUCUUCCGUUUCAACGGCCGGUCCUCCUACGGCCCAUAGGCCCAUGAGUUCAACAACGUCCCCAUAGGGCAUCGUUUUGCCGCCAUUGCAAGGAUGGGUCGGGCUUCGAGUUUGCAGCUACAGCAAUGGCCGACACCAUGUCCGCCUUCACGACGUUAUCUCUUUUCCGGCUAUUUAUGUGUCGAUGAUCGUUAAAAGUGCCCUGUUUGUUCACAUCGGUGGAAGAUGUUGUUCUACCUGCAAGAUGUGCAACUUUAGCAUUUCAUAUGAGGUUUACAUCUUGAAUAUCAGCGCAACUUUUGUGGCAAAGUUAUUCGAAGUUGCUUUACAUAGACAAGAUGCAUUCAGAUUCUUUGAGCCGUCGCUCUCCGGGGGGUGGACAUGCCUCUCCUUUUGUAGUGCUCGUAAGUCAUCCAAACUUGCUUUAUACUCUCUUUUUUCUCUUUUGCCUGAUCUUGAAGUCAUCACACUCACAGUUUCUAAAGAACCACCUCUUUUUGUCAAAUGCUUUCAUGAUUAUGAUUACUUGCAUCACAAACACUUUCCAUUGACCAAAAACAUUAAUUCCAUGGUAACUUUGGCAACAUAGUCUAGAUGAAGUAUUGGUCAAGGAUUUAUGUCAUGUCCUAUAUUGAUACAUCAAUUUAAGAUCUUAUCAUGCAUCUUAUUGAUCUGUUGUGCUACAAUUAGAAUCCAAAAGCAAAUGGCAAUGU